rnacentral:rRNA from 1 species
GUGGGUAGUUUGACUGGGGCGGUCUCCUCCUAAAGAGUAACGGAGGAGCACGAAGGUUGGCUAAUCCUGGUCGGACAUCAGGAGGUUAGUGCAAUGGCAUAAGCCAGCUUGACUGCGAGCGUGACGGCGCGAGCAGGUGCGAAAGCAGGUCAUAGUGAUCCGGUGGUUCUGAAUGGAAGGGCCAUCGCUCAACGGAUAAAAGGUACUCCGGGGAUAACAGGCUGAUACCGCCCAAGAGUUCAUAUCGACGGCGGUGUUUGGCACCUCGAUGUCGGCUCAUCACAUCCUGGGGCUGAAGUAGGUCCCAAGGGUAUGGCUGUUCGCCAUUUAAAGUGGUACGCGAGCUGGGUUUAGAACGUCGUGAGACAGUUCGGUCCCUAUCUGCCGUGGGCGCUGGAGAACUGAGGGGGGCUGCUCCUAGUACGAGAGGACCGGAGUGGACGCAUCACUGGUGUUCGGGUUGUCAUGCCAAUGGCACUGCCCGGUAGCUAAAUGCGGAAGAGAUAAGUGCUGAAAGCAUCUAAGCACGAAACUUGCCCCGAGAUGAGUUCUCCCUGAGACUUUAGGUCUCCUGAAGGAACGUUGAAGACGACGACGUUGAUAGGCCGGGUGUGUAAGCGCAGCGAUGCGUUGAGCUAACCGGUACUAAUGAACC